rnacentral:rRNA from 1 species
GACGAACGCUGGCGGCGUGCCUAAUACAUGCAAGUAGAACGCUGAAGGAGGAGCUUGCUUCUCUGGAUGAGUUGCGAACGGGUGAGUAACGCGUAGGUAACCUGCCUGGUAGCGGGGGAUAACUAUUGGAAACGAUAGCUAAUACCGCAUAAUAGCAGUUGUUGCAUGACAACUGUUUGAAAGGUGCAAUUGCACCACUACCAGAUGGACCUGCGUUGUAUUAGCUAGUUGGUGGGGUAACGGCUCACCAAGGCGACGAUACAUAGGCGACCUGAGAGGGCGAUCCGCCACCCUGGGACUUUGCCACUGCCCAUACUCCCUCGGGAGGGAGCAGUAGGGAAUCGGCGGCAAUCGACGGGAGUCUUACCUAGAAACGCCGCGUGAGUGCAGAAGGUUGUCGGUUCGUAAAGAUCUGUUGUAAGAGAUGAACGAGUGUGAGAGUGGAAAGUUCACAUUGUGACGGUAUCUUAGCAGAAAGGGACGGCUAACUACGUG